AGCUAGCCAGUGAUGGCAUGCGAAUCUCGAAAGCCUAUCUCAGUUCGGAUUGGAGGCUGAAACCCGCCUCCAUGAAGUUGGAUUCGCUAGUAAUCGCGCAUCAGCCAUGGCGCGGUGAAUACGUUCCCGGGCCUUGUACACACCGCCCGUCAAGCCAUGGGAGCCGGGGGUGCCUGAAGUUCGUUACCGUAAGGAUCGACCUAGGGCAAAACUGGUGACUGGGGCUAAGUCGUAACAAGGUAUC
rnacentral:rRNA from 1 species